rnacentral:rRNA from 1 species
UCCUACGGGAGGCAGCAGUGAGGAAUAUUGGUCAAUGGAUGAGAAUCUGACCAGCCAAGUAGCGUGAAGGAUGACUGCCCUAUGGGUUGUAAACUUCUUUUAUAAGGGAAUAAAGUUGGCUAUGUAUAGUCAUUUGUAGUACCUUAAGAAAAAGCAUCGGCUAACUCCAUGCCAGCAGCCGCGGUAA